rnacentral:rRNA from 1 species
GAUGAACGCUGGCGGUCUGCUUAACACAUGCAAGUCGAACGCAACCUUCGGGUUGAGUGGCGGACGGGUGAGUAACGCGUGAGAAUCUGCCUUGGGGUCGGGGACAACCACUGGAAACGGUGGCUAAUACCGGAUACGCCUUCGGGUAAAAGAUUUAUUGCCCUAAGAGGAGCUCGCGUCUGAUUAGCUAGUUGGUGAGGUAAGAGCUCACCAAGGCAGCGAUCAGUAGCUGGUCUGAGAGGACGAUCAGCCACACUGGGACUGAGACACGGCCCAGACUCCUACGGGAGGCAGCAGUGGGGAAUUUUCCGCAAUGGGCGAAAGCCUGACGGAGCAAGACCGCGUGAGGGAGGAAGGCUCUUGGGUUGUAAACCUCUUUUCUCAGGGAAGAAGCUCUGACGGUACCUGAGGAAUCAGCCUCGGCUAACUCCGUGCCAGCAGCCGCGGUAAUACGGAGGAGGCAAGCGUUAUCCGGAAUUAUUGGGCGUAAAGCGUCCGCAGGUGGCGAUUCAAGUCUGCUGUCAAAGCACGGGGCUUAACUCCGUAAAGGCAGUGGAAACUGAAUAGCUAGAGUGCCGUAGGGGUAGAGGGAAUUCCCGGUGUAGCGGUGAAAUGCGUAGAGAUCGGGAAGAACAUCGGUGGCGAAAGCGCUCUACUGGGCGGCAACUGACACUCAGGGACGAAAGCUAGGGGAGCGAAUGGGAUUAGAUACCCCAGUAGUCCUAGCUGUAAACGACGGAUACUAGGUGUAGCUUGUAUCGACCCGAGCUGUGCCGAAGCUAACGCGUUAAGUAUCCCGCCUGGGGAGUACGCACGCAAGUGUGAAACUCAAAGGAAUUGACGGGGGCCCGCACAAGCGGUGGAGUAUGUGG